AGGGCACCACCAGGAGUGGAGCCUGCGGCUUAAUUUGACUCAACACGGGAAAACUCACCCGGCCCGGACACCGUAAGGAUUGACAGAUUGAGAGCUCUUUCUUGAUUCGGUGGUUGGUGGUGCAUGGCCGUUCUUAGUUGGUGGAGCGAUUUGUCUGGUUUAUUCCGAUAACGAGCGAGACUCUAGCCUACUAAAUAGUGACCGGAUAGCUUGGUCCGGGUCACUUCUUAGAGGGACAAGCGGUGUUCAGCCGCAAUAAGUUGAGCAAUAACAGGUCUGCGAUGCCCUUAGAUGUCCGGGGCUGCACGCGCGCUACACUGGAGGAAUCAGCGUGCUUGACCCAUUGCCGAAAGGCAUUGGUAAACCCUUGAAAAUCCUCCGUGAUCGGGAUCGGGAAUUGCAAUUAUUUCCCUUGAACGAGGAAUUCCCAGUAAGUGUGAGUCAUCAGCUCACGUUGAUUACGUCCCUGCCCUUUGUACACACCGCCCGUCGCUGCCCGGGACUGAGCCGUUUCGAGAA
rnacentral:rRNA from 1 species